rnacentral:rRNA from 1 species
AUUGAACGCUGGCGGCAGGCCUAACACAUGCAAGUCGAGCGGAUGAAGGGAGCUUGCUCCUGGAUUCAGCGGCGGACGGGUGAGUAAUGCCUAGGAAUCUGCCUGGUAGUGGGGGAUAACGUCCGGAAACGGGCGCUAAUACCGCAUACGUCCUGCGGGAGAAAGUGGGGGGUCUUCGGACCUCACGCUAUCAGAUGAGCCUAGGUCGGAUUAGCUAGUUGGUGGGGUAAAGGCCUACCAAGGCGACGAUCCGUAACUGGUCUGAGAGGAUGAUCAGUCACACGGGAACUGAGACACGGUCCAGACUCCUACGGGAGGCAGCAGUGGGGAAUAUUGGACAAUGGGCGAAAGCCUGAUCCAGCCAUGCCGCGUGUGUGAAGAAGGUCUUCGGAUUGUAAAGCACUUUAAGUUGGGAGGAAGGGCAGUAAGUUAAUACCUUGCUGUUUUGACGUUACCAACAGAAUAAGCACCGGCUAACUUCGUG